GACGAACGCUGGCGGCGUGCUUAACACAUGCAAGUCGAACGGAAAGGCCCUGCUUUUGUGGGGUGCUCGAGUGGCGAACGGGUGAGUAACACGUGAGUAACCUGCCCUUGACUUUGGGAUAACUUCAGGAAACUGGGGCUAAUACCGGAUAGGAGCUCCUGCUGCAUGGUGGGGGUUGGAAAGUUUCGGCGGUUGGGGAUGGACUCGCGGCUUAUCAGCUUGUUGGUGGGGUAGUGGCUUACCAAGGCUUUGACGGGUAGCCGGCCUGAGAGGGCGACCGGGGGCAGUGGGAUGGGGAGGAGGAGCGGGGACCGGAGGGGGAGGGCGGGGGGGAAGGGUGCAGAGUGGGCGGGAGCGGGCUGCAGCUACGGCCGGUGGGGGAGGAAGGGGGGGGGGGUGGAAACCGCGGUCGCCGGUGACGAAGCGUGGGGCAGGGUAAAGAGUAAAGAAGCAACGACUAAGUAAAUG
rnacentral:rRNA from 1 species